UACGUAGGGUGCGAGCGUUAAUCGGAAUUACUGGGCGUAAAGCGUGCGCAGGCGGUUAUUUAAGUCAGGUGUGAAAGCCCUGGGCUUAACCUAGGAAUUGCGCUUGAGACUGGAUAGCUUGGAGUGCGGCAGAGGGAGGUGGAAUUCCACGUGUAGCAGUGAAAUGCGUAGAGAUGUGGAGGAACACUGAUGGCGAAGGCAGCCCCCUGGGCUAACACUGACGCUCAUGCACGAAAGCGUGGGGAGCAAACAGG
rnacentral:rRNA from 1 species